rnacentral:lncRNA from 1 species
ACUAUAGGCAAGAGCCUCUCAAACUUCUGAUGAGCAUCAACGGAGAGACGAAGAGGCUCAGGGAAGCCCAGGGAGCUUGGACUUUAUCCUGAAGACGACAAACAGCUGAAGGAAGGAGGGGCACGGUCAGAUGGGCGUUCUGGAGGCAACUCCGGGCUCAGUGGAGGUGAGACUAACAUCUGUCAGGACACUCCUAAGGCUUUCCGUGCAGGGCCUAAU